rnacentral:lncRNA from 1 species
AUUCUCGCCCGUCCACUCCCAGCGUAAAGAGGAUUCCGCGACUCGGAGACCGCAAUCUACCCGCCAGUCUCCAUAACGUAGGCCAGAGCAGCUGGGCUAAAUAAAACAGAGCCGGGGCUCUCCCUUCCCGAAGGCCUACAUCGCCCACUGGUCCGGGCUCGGAGCUCAGCAGAACCAGAGUAGGAGCGGUUGUUGCCGGCACGGAGGAGGGAGAGCGCUUGUGACGCUACGAACCUCUCGAACACCUGACGACUGGGCGCCAGGGCCGGAUGGAGGGUGGAGAGCCAGUGCGGCGCAGCUGCCUCCUCUUAACGGGGACACCUUGCAGGAAUGUGCGGAGUGGAGCUAACGGGAGCGGAUAGAAACCGAGGGAGGGGAAGAGAGCGCGAAGGCUUGGCCGGAAGGAGAGGUUAAAAAGGAAAGGCCUAAAAUGAGGAAGAGAGUUACCACAACAAGCAGUACCUAGUUCCAGUUCUUGGUCCCAGGAGUUUGUGGUUGUUGCUGCUUUCAUCUUCCUCAGCCAACACAAAAGGAAAGUGCCAAGGGGCGAUUCCUAGGACCUUCAGUGCAGUCUCCACCUUGCGGACUUGGCUCAUUUGUGUCCACUCCUUUCUCCAGCCUUUUACACUUGAUGCUCUUGGAUGAAUAGAAAGGAGCACAAUUAAUGGAAAACACAAGCUUGGGAGUCAAGGGAUUUGGGUUCUAUUCUUGUCCUCCCUUGGUGACGACAUCAUUACCUUGGGUUAUUCAAGCUUUCAGUGCCAGAGUUCCUAUAUCAAUAAAAGAUUAUUACAUUGACCUCUUAGAGAAAUGUUUUCAUGGUACUGAAUUGCAAAUAAAGUAUGUGUAGCGAUGUGUUA